rnacentral:rRNA from 1 species
UACGUAGGGACCGAGCGUUGUCCGGAAUCAUUGGGCGUAAAGAGCGUGUAGGCGGCCUUUUAAGUCCUGCGUGAAAUCCUGCGGCUCAACCGCAGACGGUCGUGGGAAACUGGAAGGCUAGAGUGCGGGAGAGGAGAGUGGAAUUCCCGGUGUAGCGGUGAAAUGCGCAGAUAUCGGGAAGAACACCCGUGACGAAGGCGGCUCUCUGGAACGCAACUGACGCUGAGACGCGAAAGCGUGGGGAGCAAACAGG